AGAUUGUAAUAAAUUUUUUUAAUGAUUCCUGACACUUGCCUUUCAUGGCCCACUACCCUGUUUCCCCGAAAAUAAGACAGUGUCUUAUAUUAAUUUUUGCUCCCAAAGAUGCGCUAGGUCUUAUUUUCAGGGGAUGUCUUAUUUUUCAGAAAUGAAAAAUGCCUUAUUAUCGGUGGAUGCCUUAUUAUCGGGGAGGUCUUAUUAUCGGGGGGAUGCCUUAUAUUACAACGAGAGGCAAAACUAAGGAGCAGAUCAGAUGGAAAGACUUUCUUCCUUUGAGGAAUUUGUUUUCACCAGCGAGUGCUGAAAGUCAUCACAUUGUCCAGGCAUCCAGCCCCCAGCCCACCUGUGGGGAUCCCUAAUUACCAGCACCGCAAAGGCACGUGAGUUCCUGUCUCGUUCGCUCCCAUUGUGGUGGUGGUUUCUGCCCCCCUGUUUAAUCCUCCCAGCCUAUUUCGUUCUCGGCUUUUCAUCAAAUCCUGAAAUCAACUAUAUUGCAUUCAUCCAAACCUGCCUUGUCUAAGGAGAAAGGCUCCACCCAGAUGAUGACCCUGACCAGACCGUAACUAGCCAGAGUCCAAGCAACAUGUGUCAUGGUCAACUUGCCAGCCAAGGCAUCCACUCGUAGCUAACCAGUGAUCCUGUGCCCCAAAGACAUCAAUAAAAAACAUAUUUCCCCCC